UACGUAGGAUGCAAGCGUUAUCCGGAAUGAUUGGGCGUAAAGCGUCUGUAGGUGGCUUUUUAAGUCUGCCGUCAAAUCCCAGGGCUUAACCCUGGACAGGCGGUGGAAACUACCAAGCUGGAGUACGGUAGGGGGGUCUGGAACUUCCGGUGGAGCGGUGAAAUGCGCAGAUAUCGGGAGGAACACCAAUGGCGAAGGCAGGUCUCUGGGCCACUACUGACGCUGAGAAGCGAAAGCGUGGGGAGCGAACAGG
rnacentral:rRNA from 1 species